rnacentral:tRNA from 1 species
UCCCUGGUGGUCUAGUGGCUAAGACUCUGUGCUUCAAAUGCAGGGAGUGUGGGUUUGAUCCACACUCAGGGUC